rnacentral:misc_RNA from 1 species
AAAAAAGUAAAGAACACAAGAGGAAGAAUAAAAAACUCCUCCUCUUCAACCUCCUGCGGUAUCAUCUCCGGUAUAGCGAGGUAUAUAAUACGAUCGUCUUUCUCUCCCCGAAAGACAGGGGGCAACAGGCUGGUGGACUCCGUACAACCGACCACCGCGACAUUCAUCAAUGGAUCCCGAUUCCGCGCAACAUAUAUAAAUACAUACCGGCGUAUACAUGGUUAUACGGAUUGAUCGAUGAGUUGAGAAGAUCUUUGGAGAAAUUUUAAAGAAUCAGGCCAUUUCAACAUCAUUAUGUGCAGCAAGGACUACGGAAGGACUUUACAGCUAGGAGAGCGGAAGGCGUAAGAAAAGAAAAGGGGCAGCCUAGGAAACAAUUUGGUCCAUAACAGCUGAAACAGCAACUCGGAGAAAACCCUCUUUCUGGUGUAUUUGUGGAAUCAACUACUAUAUACGCCGAAUGAACAAUUAGAUUCAAAUGAUCAAUACUAUACGUGUAUUGGUAUAAUCAUAGUGAUAUCCUAAUGUGAAAUGUGAUAAAAGUAUUGUCGGAAACGUUAUAACAUGUUAGUUAUAGUUAUGUAAAUGAAUUACUUGGUAUAACUGUGUUCAGUACAUCUUUGAUAUUGGAUUGCCAUGUGAUUUAUGAUGACAAAUUAUUAAUAAAAAGUUUCUAG